rnacentral:lncRNA from 1 species
UCUCCUGUCGUGCUCGCCACCAGCAAGCGCAUGUCGGUGGGGGAGGUAGUAAUCGCCGGCGGCGUUGGGGCGCAAGGUAUUUUCUCCCCUGUGUCCCUGCUGUUUAUCGCUCUGCCCAAUUUUUCAUGUGUUGGUCGAUGUGAUUUCCCCUGUGUCCCUGCUGUUUAUCAUUCAGUUCAUCGUCAUGGUCGCCGGUCAUAGAGCUCGUCGCAGGUGUUGCUCAGUUAGGUGGUUGUUUUGGCCAGGAAAGUUUGUGAUAGCUUAGUUCAUCAAGAACGCUCUGAUAUGUUUUGCAGGCACCUAUCCACACGUGUAGCCAGUCACAGAGCUCGCCGCCGUUGUCGCUCAGUUAGCCAAGUCUCAGUACCAGUUAUCAGUCUUCAGUAUACAGUCAUCAGUCUCCGUUAGAUUACUUGUCAAUCAGUGUCCUCAGUUUCCCAUCUUUCCUGAUUGUUCACUGCUUGAGUGCUUAUCAGUCAAAACCUAGUCUUUACUCUUUACACUACUUCAGUGUCUUUCUCAGUACAUCUUUGUUUGUAAAGUCAGGCAUGUUUCUUUAUUUUUUAUUUCAGUCAUUUAUUAUCUUCUGUGUGAGCUUCCUGAUGCGACUGAUUUUCUCUGUUCAGUUUAAGUCAUUGUUCAUUCUUCAGUGUUGUUCUGUGUUCUUAUCAGUACCCUUUCAUCAGUGCUUAUUUCAUCAAUCCUCGGUUCUUCUUCGGAUCAGUCUUUAGCGCUUCAGUAUUCAGCCUCAUUAUUUAUUAUUUCAGUCCAUCAUAUUGUAUUUAUGUUUCAGUAUACGUCAUAUUUAUUUCAUUGUAGUUCAUUGUUCCACUCGGUCUUAUUCUUAGUCUCAAUUCUCAAGUCUCAGUUUUCCUCACAUGAAGAUUUGUUUCUUCAGUUUCAGUAGUUUCAUUGUUAAGUGCCAUUUUAUUCAGUUCCGUCGGUAGUUUCAGUGUUACAUGUCAUUUUUUCAUUUUUUUUCAGUAUCAUUGUUAGGUGUCAUUUUCUUCAGUUUUUCAGAUUUCAGUGUGUCGUUUGUCAGUAUUCAGUUUUGUUCGAGUUCUCAAUCAUGUAGUUGAGUUACUCAUUUUGGGUUUGACUGAUAGUCUUCGCCUCUUCGGUAUUCAGUUUGAUCAGAUAUUCAUUCUAGUUUUCAGUCAUCUAUUUGAUUUAUCACUAAUUUAGUUUGAACUGAUAUUCAAUAUAGUUUUCAGUUUAUGUGGUUGAUACUCAUUUUAGGUGUUCCAAGAUGGCAUUGCAGAUAAUCUUUAGGAUUUUUUUUAGUUUUUAGUUUUCUAUUUUCACUUUUGUAUCAUUUUCAAUUCUUCAGUUCUGCUUAGUUGAGUAGUCAUUGUUCGACUUUUAUUUAGUUAUCUUUUCUUAGUUUUCACUCUAAAACCCAUAUUUAGUUAGCCAUUCUAUUAUAGUUACUUGUCUUUCUCAAUAUUUCAAACCUUUUAGUUUUUUUCAGUAUGACCACCGUUAUGUUUUCUUUGGUUUUUGGAUCAUUCUUAGAUGAUUAGGAGAGUUGCCUCUCUGCUUUCAUGUGUAACCUCCCUAUCUUUCUACCUCUUUUGGCGCGUGUGCACGUGCAGCUCUUUUUAAU